GCAUCUCUUAUGAAUGUUGGUCAAUGGAAGCAUGUUUCAACCAGGCAUGUCGCGUGAAGGAGGACGGCCGUAAGGGUAGUAAUCUUUUUUUGCAGAGGAAUAAAGUUUGCCACGAGAGGGGGAUAUGCAAGUACGCUGAGAAUAAGGAUUGGCUAAGUCCCUGCCAGCAGCCUCGGUAAUAGGGAGGAUCCGGGCGUUAUCCGGAUUUAUUGGGUUUAAAGGGUGCGCAGGCGGGGAAUUAGGUGGGCGGUGAAAUUUCGGGGCUCAACCUGGACAGUGCCGUAGAAACCGUUUCUAGUGAGUGCGGGAGAGGUGGGCGGAAUUCGUGGUGUAGCGGAAAAAUGUGUAGAUAGCACAAGGAACCCCGAUUGAGGAGGCAUCCUUGUAACCAGUUACUGACGCUCAUGCAAGAAGGCGUGGGGAUCACGCAGGAAUAGCCACCGUGGUCGUCCACGCAAUAAAAGAUGAUUACUGGGUGGGUGCGCACACCAUCAGUGCCGCAGCUAACGC
rnacentral:rRNA from 1 species